GGGGACGAUUUUGGUUUCGACGGAGAUUUAAACCGAAUAUGUAAAGCAUGUGGUUUUGCCCAUAACCUAAAAAUGAGCAUUGCGAAAUAAACGCAGAAAAUAAUGACAAUGUUGUUUCUUUCAAUAAUGUUGCUUAUGCAGCCUAAUUUUAAGAAAACAGCGACUUGAUUGGAAUUUCCAAUCUGCUCAACUUUCGACUUGCCAUUGAAAGAACUGAGUAUCAUCUUAGGCAAAAAUUUUGUGUUGAGUUGCCUUUGUAAACGCAAAAAAUUUUAAAGGAUUGUUUUUAAAACUUGUUUAUGAGUGAUUUAAAAAUGAAAUUUAUGCAUAAACUAAACAUGUAGAAAAGUAUUCGGUUUUGUUUUCGGACGAGGGUUCAAUUCCCUCCGUCUCCACCA
rnacentral:tmRNA from 1 species